rnacentral:rRNA from 1 species
UACGUAGGGUGCGAGCGUUAAUCGGAAUUACUGGGCGUAAAGCGUGCGCAGGCGGCUUUGCAAGACAGAUGUGAAAUCCCCGGGCUCAACCUGGGAACUGCAUUUGUGACUGCAAGGCUAGAGUACGGCAGAGGGGGAUGGAAUUCCGCGUGUAGCAGUGAAAUGCGUAGAUAUGCGGAGGAACACCAAUGGCGAAGGCGGCUCACUGGACCUGUACUGACGCUCAUGCACGAAAGCGUGGGGAGCAAACAGG